GGCAGAGACUGUAGGAGGAAGAGAAGGAUCAUCGCCGGGCCUCCCGGGUGCUAAUGAAUUAACGGGGAAGCCGAGUUAAUGAGUUCCAAGGAGGAGUUGUUGUCAGAGGGUGGAGAGGAAGGAUUGAAAACUCAGAGACGUUUAAUAUUUUUUUUGCCCAAGGCUUACCCACACGGCUUCAAGGUGGUAUAAUUCUGAUCUAACCAAGCUUUCUGGAAUUUACUGUAAAAAAACGUAGAUGCUGUUCUGGGAUCAGAGAGCUCACAGCACAGAGUCGGGGAGGCUGAUCCACGUGCCCCAGCAACACUAUGGAAGAGCCAGAAUAGAAUUGCCCCAGACUUAUCUCCCGUACCGUCCCAAAGGCUGAUACCUCCUGUGCCAGGUGCUUGUGGACAUCAGCUAAGAUCGAGGUGUGAAAUGGUCUCAUAAACUUUGGAGGUCUCUAGAGAACUUACAAGAAUCUCCCAUGUGCUUCUUGGGAGCUUUGGAGGAACAGUGAAGCCCAGAAUCCUUAGAUGAAAUCCUCAGCAGGUAAUCUUGAUUGUAUGAUCGAUACCAAUAAAACAAUAAUAAUAAUAAUACCAAUAAAACCUG